rnacentral:lncRNA from 1 species
AUUUAGUCGGAAAAAUUAUAUCAAGAGAGAAUCCUAAUUUCACGCAAACACAAAUACAAGACAAAUAUGUUAAUUUCUAUACUAUUCACUUUCCUGUAGAAUCAAUUAUCUAAAAUGCAAGUUUGUGGCUACAGAAAACUCGCCAAAGAAAGAAGAUAAUAACAAUUGAGCAUUGAUAGCAAAACUAAUGCAUCAUUUUCUUCUUGACUUGAUGAGAUGGCGCCAUCACAAAAAAACAAGUACCUUAAUUGACGGGCACUGAGUGAUGUGAAUACUACCAGCCAGUUCAUCUCUUCCAGUCUUGCUUAAUCACAAUCACAAACACCUCGAGAUCGACAUUUGCAUUAUAUAUAUGUUCAGCAAUCGAAACACCUUGCAUUACCAAAUAAACCAGUAACAAACAAAGCAAUCUUUCAUGGAGAGAAACUUUAGUCUCAGUAUGAUCACUGUGUCAUUAACCCACUGCCUGCUUCUUUGCUUGGUUGUUGCAGCAGCAGCAGCAGCAGCAGCAAGCAACAAUAUUACCACAGACCAACAAGCUCUUCUUGCCCUGAAAGAUCAUAUAAUUUAUGAUCCGACCAACCUUUUAGCCCAUAAUUGGACCUCGAAUACCUCUGUUUGUACCUGGAUUGGCAUCACUUGUGAUGUCAAUAGCCAUAGAGUCACAGCCUUAGAUAUUUCUCAAUUCAAUCUACAAGGCACCAUCCCUCCUCAACUUGGAAACCUCUCUUCACUCACAACACUUAAUCUUAGUCAUAACAAGCUUUCUGGAAGCGUUCCCUCCUCCAUCUACACCAUGCAUAGGCUAAAAUUUCUUGACUUCACUGAUAACCAGCUCUCUGGUUCGGUGUCUUCCUUCGUCUUCAACAUGUCUUCAAUAUUAGACAUUCGUUUGACCAAUAACAGACUUUCUGGUGAGCUUCCGAAAAAUAUUUGCAACUAUCUUCCUCAUUUGAAAGCCCUUUUUUUGGACAAAAACAUGUUUCAUAGCAAAAUUCCUUCUGCUUUAUCAAAGUGCAAACAACUGCAACAAUUAAAUUUGCAGUUCAAUAAUUUAUCCGGUGCAAUACCAAAAGAAAUCGGCAACUUGACUAGGCUCAAAGGGAUAUAUCUCGGCGCCAACAAACUCCACGGUAUGUUCAUAAUACUAUGUAAAUAUUUUAAUUUCUCACUUGUUAUUUUUCUUGAAUACUUUAGAUAAGAUCAUGUAACGGAGAUUUUUUUGCAUCUAUGUUAAUUUGCCAGGUGAGAUACCGCACGAAAUCGCUAAUCUUCGAAAUCUAGGGGAUUUAGUGCUUGGAAUGAACAACCUAGUUGGUGUGUUACCAGCUCCAAUCUUCAACAUGUCAACACUGAAGGUACUUAUCCUCAUAAACAACUCUCUCAGCGGAAGUCUUCCAUCAAGAAUAGACCUUUCACUUCCAACGGUUGAGGUUCUUAUCUUGUCACUUAAUAGAUUUUCUGGAACCAUUCCUAGUUCCAUCACCAAUGCUUCUAAGCUCGCCUUGCUAGAAUUGGGAGUAAACACAUUUUCGGGAUUUAUUCCAAACACAAUUGGUAAUUUAAGAAACCUUGAGUGGCUCGGCUUGGGUAAUAACUACUUGACAUCUUCAACCUCAAAAUUGAGCUUUCUUUCCUCUUUGGCAAAUUGCAAGAAAUUAAGAGACAUAGGCUUAACAGGCAAUCCACUCAACGGUAUCCUUCCAAGUUCAAUAGGUAAUCUUUCCAUGUCUUUGAAAACACUUUACAUCGGCAAUUGCAGUAUUAGUGGCAACAUUCCUCAAUCAAUUGGCAAUUUAAGCAACUUAUUGGCCUUAGUAUUAGAAGUCAAUAAAUUGACUGGACCUAUCCCAACUACAUUCGGCCGACUGCAGAAACUCCAAGGCUUAUAUCUUGCAUUCAAUAAGUUGGUAGGUUCAUUCCCAGAUGAGCUUUGCCAUCUAGCAAGGCUGGAUCAAUUGGUCUUAUUUGGCAAUAAGCUUUCAGGAUCUAUACCUUCAUGCUUAAGUAAUCUCACUUCUCUGAGAUCUCUCUACUUAGGGUCCAAUAGGUUUACUUCUGUCAUUCCCUCAACUUUCUGGAGCCUAAAAGACAUCUUGUUCUUUGACUUUUCAUCAAAUUUCUUGGUGGGUCCUCUUUCUUCAGACAUAGGUAAUUUGAAGGUGCUUCUAGGAAUAAAUUUAUCAGAAAAUAACUUAUCGGGUGAUAUGCCAGCCACAAUUGGAGGACUAAAAAACCUUCAAAUUAUGGACCUAGCAUAUAAUAGAUUGGAAGGCCCAAUUCCUGAAUCAUUUGGUGACUUGACAAGUUUGGAGGUUUUGAAUUUGUCAAAUAAUAAAAUCUCCGGGUCUAUUCCAAAAUCCUUGGGGAAACUCUUUUACCUCCGAGAGUUAAAUCUCUCUUUCAAUGAACUAGAAGGUGAGAUUCCUAGUGGAGGAAUUUUUGCCAACUUCACAGCUGAGUCAUUUAUGGGAAAUGAGUUAUUGUGUGGUUUACCAAAUCUUCAAGUCCAACCAUGCAAAGUUAGCAAGCCGAGGACAGAACAUAAAUCAAGGAAAAAGAUACUUCUCAUUGUGAUUGUUUUGCCAUUGAGUAUUGCUCUAACGAUAGCAAUCACUCUAGCUCUCCAAUCUAAGCUGAUCGAAUGUGGAAAAAGAAGCACGGUGUUAUCAAAUGAUAGUAUCUUGUCAUCACAAGCAACACUAAGAAGAUUUUCAUACUUAGAACUUUUACGAGCAACAGAUAAUUUUGCUGAAAACAGCAUAAUUGGCAGAGGAGGUUUUGGUUCCGUUUAUGGAGCAAGACUUGAAGAUGGGAUGAAGAUUGCAAUAAAAGUGUUUCACCAGCAAUGUGCAAGCGCAUUGAAGAGUUUUGAGGCUGAAUGUGAAGUGUUAAAAAAUAUUCGCCAUCGAAACCUUAUCAAAGUUAUCAGCAGUUGCUCGAACGAUGACUUCAAAGCAUUAGUCCUAGAAUACAUGUCCAACGGGAGCUUAGGGGAUUGGCUGCAUUCGAGCAAUUACGUGCUGAAUAUUUUUCAAAGGUUGAACAUAAUGAUUGACGUUGCAUCAGCUUUAGAAUAUCUCCACUUUGAUCAUUCAACUCCUAUUAUUCAUUGUGACUUAAAGCCUAGUAAUGUAUUGUUGGAUGAAAAUAUGGUUGCUCAUUUGAGUGAUUUUGGCAUAGCAAAGCUUUUAAGUGGAGAGGAUGAGUCUACGAUGCGAACAAAAACCCUUGCCACUAUAGGUUAUAUGGCACCAGGUUUGCUUCAAACAACUUUUUUUUAAAGUUCAUUUUAAAUUUUCCAACUUAUUGAUUUUUACAAUCCUCAUAUCAAAAUGUUAUUGAUUAUUUAUCUAAUUGUGAAAUUAAUUUGAUUAAUAGAGUACGGCAUUGAAGGAGAAGUAUCUACAAAAAGUGAUGUUUACAGCUAUGGGAUUAUGUUGAUGGAAACUUUUACCAAGAAAAAACCCACAGAUGAAAUUUUUGUUGGGGAAUUGAGCUUAAAGCGUUGGGUUAAUGACUUGCUUCCUACUUCAUUAGUGGAAGUUGUGGACAAAACUCUGCUAAGUGGAGAGGAAAAACAUUCUGCAGCAAAGGAGCAAUGUCUGUUGUCUAUCUUUAGUUUGGCUCUGGAGUGUACAAUGGAAUCACCGGAAAAGAGGAUUAAUGCAAAAGAUAUUGUUACUAGAUUACUCAAGAUAAGAGACACAUUGAGUAAAAGGAUCGGAAAUUUAAGUUAAUUUCGUUUGCUUUCAUUGAUAGUUAAUCUGAAUUCAUGUAAUAAGUGUAGGAAUCUUAUAUCUUUUCCUUUCAUAUAUUUUUUUUUCUUGAGAAAACUGUUGUAGUCAUCUUGUUUCCAUGGACAGAGUUGAUUUAGUUCUUCCAAAAAAUGCUACUGAUGACCUUUGUUUAAUACUUUCUCUUUUUUUGCAUGUGUUUAGGUAGAACAGUGGUUUGGCUGCAGGCUAAGAAGUCUAACUACACUAAAAGAAUAUGAUUUAAUUUAUUAAACAAAACUUCAAGUUCAAGAAAAGUAUUUCACUGCCCCCAAUGCUUUGGACACCUACUUGUUGCGGACCGCCCAAUUCGCUAGCCCAAUUGCCCACAAUUUCGGGCUAGAGAGCCAACACAAGGCCAAGAGUGCUAGCUUGGCCCAAUUCCGAAAGGUUCUAGGCAACUCUAGCACAUGUGAACAUGUAAAUAUUCUAGAAUACUUUAUACAAUUCCAGCACAUGCAAAUAGCUAGGAAAUUGUAAAAUACUCUAGAGUUUGACCAAGUUUGGCAAAGUUAGGCAAAGUUAGGCAAAGCCUCCCCUAUAAAUAUGGGAUGGCAUUAGGCAUUUGUAUCCAAAAAGCUUUGUAAGCAACUUAAGCAUUGUAUUCUCUCUUUGUGCAAUACAAGUUUUCUUCUUUGGCUCAAUUGCUCUCUUCUCUAGUUCGAGAAGCUCUAGGCUUACUUAGCAACAUUCGGCAAAGUUGUCUAAGUGCCGCACGGGUUAGCUGCGCAAAACACUCAUCUCGUGACAAGUGGUAUCAGAGCUAAGGUUUGCACGCACGCAAAUUAGCUCACGAAGCAAUGGCCAACCCUUCGAACGUAGCACAAGAGGGUGUUGUUGGUGUGGAUGUUCCACCGGAACUAAGCCGUGGCCGAGAGGGAGAACGUGCCCAAGGCAAGACUCGCGGCAAGUCCAAGGCCCUAUCCGUGGAUGCGUUGGAGCCUCGUGUAGGCACUCUCGAAAUCGCAUUGUCCACCGCUCAAGAAAGCCUCGAGGGAUUGGAGGAACGAGUGGACGGACUCGAGGGAGAAUACGCCGAAUUCACGGUGGCAACCAAAGCUCUCAUCCAAGAACAAGCAAACACUCUUCGAGGUGAGUGUUCAAGACGAACUACGCGCUGUCCGUGCGGAAGUGGAUGAAGUCCGCUCGGAUUGGGCAUGGCACAAGCGCACACUCUCCUCAAGUCCAGCUUCCGCAAACUCGAGUGAUGCGCGCCGCAUUGACGUGCCAAAGCCCGACACCUACGAUGGCACACGCAAUGCCACAAUCGUGGAUAAUUUCCUCUUUGGUCUGGAUCAAUACUUUAAUGCCAUGGGUGUACGAGAUGAGGCAUCGAAAGUGGGCACUGCACCCACCUAUCUUAGAGGCGCUGCACAACUAUGGUGGCGUCGCAAACAUGGCGAGAUGGGCAAGGGCAUUUGCACCAUCGACAUUUGGUCCGACUUCAAGCAAGAACUCCGAAAGCAGUUCGCCCCAAGCAAUGCGGAGAAGGAAGCGCGAGCGCGCUUACGUCGCCUCAAGCAAUCGGGUAGCAUUCGGGACUACAUCAACGAGUUCACUACCCUUAUGUUGGAGAUAAGCGACAUGUCCAACAAGGAUUCACUCUUCUACUUCCAAGAUGGCCUCAAGGAUUGGGCCAAAACCGAGCUUGAUAGGCGUGGUGUUCAAACACUUGACGACGCCAUCGCCAUUGCGGAAUCGCUCACCGAAUACUCUACCCAAUCCAAAGACAAGAAGUCUAGCCAAGGCAAAGGUGGGGGAGAGAGUCGUAAGGACAAGGGCAACAACCGCAAAGAUUGGGGGCAGAAAAAGCCGCCUAGCAACAAGAGCUGGCAGGGAAAAUCGGAGGGCAAGAAGGAGGCGCCAAAGCCACGAAGCCCAUGCUUCAUAUGCAAUGGUCCUCAUUGGGUACGCGACUGUCCGGAGAAGCGGUCGCUUAAUAUUCUUGCUGCCCAACUCAAGAGCAACCCCACAAUGUCCGUGGAGGAACCCCAACUUAGCAUGGGUUCUCUCCAACGCCUCGGCGCCCUCAACCGCCAACAGCCCGCGCUAGUCAAGAAAGGGCUCAUGUAUGUUAGCGCAAAGGUAAACAGCCAGUCCGUUCGCGCGUUGCUAGACACGGGAGCAACACACAAUUUCGUGUCCGUAGAUGAGGCCAAGCGUUUAGGCCUCAAGGCCACCAAGGAAUGAGGCACAAUGAAGGCAGUAAACUCACCCGCCAAGCCAAUUGCGGGAAUUGCACAAGGCGUACACAUCACACUUGGUACGUGGAGCGGAAAGCUUGACUUCUCCAUCCUGCCCAUGGACGACUUCAAGAUGGUCCUGGGCAUGGAAUUCUUCGACCAAGUCUAUGCCUUCCCGCUGCCUACUACGAACUCCCUAAGCAUCCUCGAUGGGAGUAAAGCAUGCAUGGUACCCACGGAGCGAGGCAAGUCCGAGGAGAAGACACUCUCCACCAUGCAAUUCAAAAGGGCUUUCAAGAAGGACCCAAGCUUCUUGGUCUCCAUUCGGGAACUAAAUGAGGAAAGAAAUAGCGGAACGUCGCCAAGCCAAGUCCCUCCGCAAAUAUACAGAGUCCUCAAUGAGUACGAGGAUGUGAUGCCUCCAGAACUUCCGAAGAAGCUCCCACCUCGACGAGAGGUAGAUCAUGCGAUCGAGCUAGAACAAGGCGCGAAGCCAACAGCCUUGGCGCCCUACCGUAUGGCGCCAUCUGAAUUAGAGGAGUUGCGGAGACAACUCAAAGACUUGCUGGACGCAGGCUACAUUCGCCCCUCAAAGGCCCCAUUCAGUGCACCCGUGCUCUUCCAAAAGAAAAAGGAUGGAUCGCUGCGGAUGUGCAUCGACUAUAGAGCGCUCAACAAGAUCACUAUCAAGAACAAGUAUCUGAUUCCCGUGAUUGCGGACUUGUUCGACCAGCUUGGCAAAGCGCGGUACUUCACCAAACUUGACUUGCGCUCCGGGUAUUAUCAAGUGCGCAUCGCCAAGGGAGAUGAACCGAAGACAGCGUGCACAACAAGGUACGGGUCUUUCGAAUUCCUUGUGAUGCCUUUUGGUCUUACUAAUGCACCCGCCACAUUUUGCACGCUCAUGAACAAGGUGCUCCAACCAUUCCUCGACUGCUUCGUGGUCGUGUACUUGGAUGACAUAGUGGUGUAUAGCACCACGCUCGAGGAUCAUGCCCGACAUUUGCGACAAGUCCUCCAAGUACUUCGAGACAACGAGCUCUUCCUCAAACUAGAGAAGUGCUCGUUUGCCCAACAAGAAGUGGAGUUCCUUGGCCAUAAGAUUGCGGGUGGGAAGAUCAUGAUGGAGAAUGACAAAGUAAAGGUCAUCCUCGAUUGGGAGCCUCCCUCGAAAGUACCCGAACUUCGCUCAUUCCUUGGACUGGUGAAUUACUACCGCCGCUUCAUCAAGGGCUAUUCAGCUAAGGCGGCACCCUUGACGAAUAUGCUCAAGAAAAACAGAACAUGGCAUUGGUCCGAAGAGUGCCAACGCGCAUUCGAGGAGUUGAAAAGAACAAUUUCGGAGGAACCCGUCCUCGCUCUUCCGGACCACACAAAGCCCUUCGAAGUGCAAACGGAUGCCUCGGAUUUCGCCAUAGGAGGAGUCCUUAUGCAAGAAGGCCACCCUAUAGCGUUCGAGAGUCGAAAGCUAAAUGAUACAGAACGCCGCUACACGGUGCAAGAAAAGGAGAUGACCGCAAUCAUACAUUGCUUGCGGGUGUGGCGACAUUACUUGCUUGGCUCGUACUUCACGAUUAUGACGGAUAACGUGGCGACAAGCUACUUUCAAACUCAGAAGAAGUUGAGUCCGAAGCAAGCACGGUGGCAAGAUUUCCUUGCGGAAUUCGACUACCGGCUGGAGUACAAACCGGGGAAAGCCAAUGUCGUUGUGAACGCUCUAAGCCGCAAGGCCGAAUUGGCGACACUUAGCAUGAGCCAACCAAAGUCUGACCUUGUCUCACGCAUCAAGGAAGGCCUCCAACAAGAUCCGCUAGCCAAGGAUUUGCUGGAGAAGGUGCUCGAGGGAAAGACAAGACGAUUUUGGCAAGAGGAAGGCAUCCUCCUCACCAAGGGAGAUCGGCUAUUCGUGCCAAGGUGGGGAAACUUGCGGAAGGAAGUAAUCAAGGAGUGCCACGACUCUAAGUGGGCCGGUCACCCAGGAAUCGAGCGCACCACCGCACUAGUUCAAGCCUCGUAUUUUUGGCCGCACAUGAGGGACGACAUCGAGGCAUAUGUGCGAACUUGUCUUGUGUGCCAACAAGACAAAGUGGAUCAUCAACUUCCAGCGGGAUUGUUGGAGCCGUUACCACUAGCAACAAGGCCAUGGGAAAGUGUCUCCAUGGAUUUCAUCACAUCGCUGCCCAAGUCCGAAGGUUGUGGAAGCAUCAUGGUCGUUGUCGACCGAUACAGCAAAUAUGCCACAUUCAUUGCCGCACCAGCCGAUUGCAAAGCGGACGAGGCAGCCCGCCUAUUCGUCAAGCACAUUGUGAAGCUUUGGGGAGUUCCGAAGAGCAUUGUGAGCGACCGAGACCCUCGAUUCACUGGACGCUUUUGGACGGAACUCUUCAAAAUGUUGGGGACCGAUCUCAAGUUCUCGACAAGCUUCCACCCACAAACGGAUGGGCAGACCGAGCGCAUUAAUGGCCUCCUCGAGAUGUACCUGAGGCAUUAUGUGAGCGCUCACCAGCGGGAUUGGGCGAAGCUACUCGACAUUGCCCAAUUUUCUUAUAACUUGCAGCGAAGUGAGGCUACGGGCAAGAGUCCAUUCGAGAUCAUCAUGGGAUUUCAGCCCAUGACCCCCAAUGCCAUAGCCUCGACUUACGGAGGGAAAAGCCCCGCGGCACACAAGCUCGCCCGCGAAUGGCAUGAGGAAGCGGACAUCACGCGAGCCUAUCUCGACAAAGCCGCGAGGAAAAUGAAGAAAUGGGCUGAUACAAGGAGACGGCAUGUUGAGUACAAGGAAGGAGAUCAAGUCAUGAUCAAGCUCCUACCCCAACAAUUCAAGACUUUGCGGAAAGUUCACAAGGGGUUAGUGAGGUGCUACGAGGGAUCCUUCCGAGUUGUUCGACGUGUAGGCAACGUCUCGUAUCAACUCCAACUUCCGCCAAGACUCAAGAUCCAUCCGGUCUUCCAUGUGAGCCUUCUCAAGCCAUAUCAUGAAGACAUGGGAGAACCAAGUCGCGGAGAAUUGAGGCGCGCGCCAACUGCCGUUGUCACCGCGUUCGACAAAGAUGUGGACUACAUCAUUGCGGACCGAACGGUUUCGAGGAGGGGCGUGCCAGCACAUAGCGAGUACUUGGUGAAAUGGAAAAACCUCCCCGAGAGCGAAGCCACUUGGGAACGGGAAGAUGAUUUGUGGCAAUUCGCUGAGCACAUCCAGCACUUCAAGCACGAGAGCGCGACGAGGACGCCGCGAGCUUAGGUGGGGGAGGAUGUUGCGGACCGCCCAAUUCGCUAGCCCAAUUGCCCACAAUUUCGGGCUAGAGAGCCAACACAAGGCCAAGAGUGCUAGCUUGGCCCAAUUCUGGAAGGUUCUAGGCAACUCUAGCACAUGUGAACAUGUAAAUAUUCUAGAAUACUUUAUACAAUUCCAGCACAUGCAAAUAGCUAGGAAAUUGUAAAAUACUCUAGAGUUUGACCAAGUUUGGCAAAGUUAGGCAAAGUUAGGCAAAGUUAGGCAAAGCCUCCCCUAUAAAUAUGGGAUGGCAUUAGGCAUUUGUAUCCAACAAGCUUUGUAAGCAACUCAAGCAUUGUAUUCUCUCUUUGUGCAAUACAAGUUUUCUUCUUUGGCUCAAUUGCUCUCUUCUCUAGUUCGAGAAGCUCUAGGCUUACUUAGCAACAUUCGGCAAAGUUGUCUAAGUGCCGCACGGGUUAGCUGCGCAAAACACUCAUCCCGUGACAUACUGGUAGGUAUGUACGUGUCCUCAACUUUUUUUCGGAGCACAAAAUUCGAGUCCCAUGGAGACUCAAACAUUCCUUUCCCACAUCCCGAGCACGCUAAAUUCAUCAGACUAACAACUGUGACAUAUACAAGAGUGAAAUGUUUAGAGAACGCUAAGUACUAUGAAAGAGAUUAGUUUACGAAAACUGAAGCCAAGGGUUCAUAAAAAAGUGCAAAGAGAAUAAAGGACAACGCUUAUGUAAAGCGACAUAGUUGUAUUCAUAGCACAAUGUCAUAUUCAUACAGAGAUCUAGAAUAUUAUUUACAGCUGGUAAGGGCUAAGAAUUGAUGUAGCUAGAAUACAAAGACGAUAAGGUAUGUUGUGCACUAUUGUUUUAUUCUACGAUCAAUCUUGACCCUUGAUGCUUGGCUCUCAAUCUUGUCCAUUGAUCUUCUUUGAUUUUGGACACUUCAAGACCUUUCAGUAUCAUUCCUUGUUAUUGGUGUCUUCCGUGCUGUAGAAUUCAUAUACAAGCCUUCCCGCCGACUUGCCAAUUAUUUGUUCAUUGGUGCGUUUUGUCAAGCAGUGUGGAUACUUAUACCAAACGCUUUCUGUUUUAACUCCCCCUUUCAAGCUCAACUAUCUGGGAAGACACUAAUAAGCUUGUUUCUCAAGUAUAUGUAUGUGAAAAUUAAAAUUUCAAAAUAAUAUUCGGACUCUACAUUUUCUAAUGAACAUUGGUUUGGCUCAUAAGCUUAUUAUACUUGGGCUUGGUAGGAUUAUCGGUCGGUAGAUGAACAAGUGUUAGAGCUUUCGAAUUUAUGCCAAUUAAAAAAAAAAAAAUCUAUAUAAAUUUUCCACUAGGCUAUUACCACAAUAAACAUUUGGAUGAACUAUUAUUGAAACCUUAUUGAGAAGUAGGACAUGUCGCAUACCAAUGCACUGACAUAUCUUCAAAUAGUGGUAACUCCACACAACAUGGCACAAUAAAUUAAGAGUUAUAUAGAUAAAAUCUUUCACUCUUUGGUAAUCAUCAAUGUCGGCAUGGCAAUGCGUCCGACAAAAUUCAUAAAUCAAAACAAAAAUAGAGAAUCAUAUUUGUUCCAGAUUGUAGUGAUGGUUGUUGAUGCACUCACAAUUUACAAUUUUAUUUAAUAUCUUCACAUUCGCAUUUUAAAAUGCACAAAUGUUUGUGUAUACAUAAUUAGUAAUCGAUUCUCAAGCAUGGACAUUUAAAAGCACUGCUGAAAGACAAAAUUUUAAUUUACUAUUUUUUGUCUUUUAAUUUUCUUUAAGUUUUAAUGAUUCCGCAUUUUGGCGAAGGAAUUGCAACCGCAUUUGGAGCUAGUUUUAAUUUUGUCUUUUAAUUCUUUUACACUUGGCUUUUGUUAUUGAUGUUAACUUCGAUGUGUGUGCGUGUGCGACUGAAUUCAACUUACACGCUAUUGAUGCAGCCACCAAAAAGGGGUGGUCCAUCAUCAAUCAACAAGGUUUAUUAUUAUUUCCAUAUUGAUUUUCUUAAUUAUAAAUAAUACUAAUGCUAUUUCAUAGUUAUAAAUAUAUUAGAAUUAAUCGAAAUCAUUUUUUAGUGUGGCAUGGCUAAAACUACCUUUUUUUUUUAUAAGUAAUUACUACUUUCACAUUAAGAAAAAAUACUCCUAUUUUUAAGGAAAAGUCAAGUACCUGUAGUUGUGAAGACUCGAGCUCACUCCCUUAUGAUAAAUCUUCAUAUUAAUUACGUAAAUAUCCUCUAAAAUUUUAAAUUAACUAUUCAAAAUUCGAUGUUAUACAGGUAUUUCAUUUAUUUGAGUAGGGGUUAGGGGUCAAUUGGAUACAAAUUCAAAAUUAUCCUUACUUGAGAAGGUGAUAAAAAUUGGGGAUUUAGUUUGGAUGUCAUUAGCUACAAAUAUUAAACUCAUACAUUUAAUUCAAAAUUAGAGGGCUGAUAUAUGCGCAUCAUCGUGCACGUUAUAGUGACACUGCGUCACCAUUCCACAACCUCUCCAAUGAAAAAUUGACAUGCUUCUUGUGCGCAUCUAAUCAGAAUCUUGAAAAUUAAUCACAAAAUUGUACUUUUAUUAUAAAAAGAAUAAAGAAACUCCAAGAAAAAAAAAAGACUUACAUAAAUAGAUUGAAAAAUCUAGAUUUCAAGUUGUCUAUAUUAGCUUGAUAUUUUUAUUAAUAGUCAUCCUCCCAAAAAAAUUCCAUCAAAAUAUAUUUUAAUUUUAUGUUAAUUCAUAAACAUGAAAAAAUCAUUUUAGAAUUAAUUAAAACAUAAUUUAUUGUUGCUCAAAAAAGGUAGAACUUAGUGAUCAGAAAAAAAGUAUCUAAAAUAUAUGUUAAAAAAAAUCAUGGUUGGUUAGACUGAUUGAAUUUUUUUUCUUUUUUAAGAAUUAAGACAAUUGGAUGGAUUCAGUAAUAAUAAUACAUAUUUAUUUGGCAAAUGGCAGGGAGGCUUUCGUCUGAUGCAGAUUGAUUAGAGAGAAAAUAUAACAAUUUUAAGCUCGUCAGAUUCGAAGCUGCUUACCUGUCGUGGGGGGAUCACUUCCGGUGCAUGUUGUCGUGUUAAAUUCUCGUUGACUUCACGUUGACUGAAGCAUUAUUGGAAGAAACAAGUUUAUUGAUGUGAGGCCUUUGAGAUUGUAAGUGUUAAAUCUGAGAAGAAUACCCACACACCCAUUAUCCUAUUACUCUUCUAUCACAUGAAGAGAAUUCAACAUUUGAUUCACACGGAAAAAAAAUUUGUGAGGAUUGUGAGGGUUGAUGGAAUAUAAUUUAGAUACAAAGUGUUUACCAGUGCGAUGCUUCGCAAGUGUUCUUGAAUCAAUAUAAACUCACAUUAUUUUCAUAGCGAUUGUUUCAUCUGCACGUGGAUAUAAUCACAUGUCGAGAUUUUUUUCCUUAAAUUAUGAUCUUAUUUAGUAUUGAGGUGUUAUAUCUUUUAAGGUACAAUUAUUGUUGGAAAAAAGUUGCAACUAUCAAAUAAAAUUAAUACUAUGUGCUAAAUAUAAUUGUUAAAUAAUAAUUUUGACAAAAUUAGUGAAGUUAUAUAGAUUUUUUUUCAUCAUCCAAGUAUAAAAUCAAAUCAACUUAACUUCUAAGUUCUAUAUCGGCUACUGUUUAUCAUAUGUUUUAGUUCUGUAACUUUUAAAUUAUAGUUACCCAACCUCAAUUCUAAACAAGACCUAUAACGAUAAAAAAUUUCCUCAUUAAAUUAUAUGUCUUGUGAUUGCUUAUUUAAUUUAUAUUUUUGUUAUUUAUCUUUAUUAAUUAUAAUCAUCUUUUUAUAAAUUAAAAUUGAAGGAAGUUGAUUGAUGUUGUUGACACACACACACGCACGCACACACUCGCAAAGAUAUAUUGGAAGUGCUUACGUCGACUCGAAGUUGUUGGGAAUUAAUGCAUGUAUUGAUUUAUUGGGAGUGUUUAAAUUGAUUUAUUAAUUGAAUAUUGUUUGAUUGCUUCAUAUCCAUUCUAGAAAGUUUAUUUCUUUGUGAAAUUUCAACGAAAUAUGUUUUUUUUUUUAAAUAAGGGUGUUCUAAAUCAUUUUAAAAAAUAUAUGGACUAAUUAGAAUUAAUUAUUAGGUAAUUAACUCAAUUUGUACAGGGUGAAACAACAUUUAUCCUAAUUAUAUCAUGAUAAAUACUUUUUUGAUUAGAAUUAGGAAAUCAUAGGUUUAUUGAAUUGUUUUUUUUUUCCUUUGCGGAAAUGGAUUAGAGAAUUAGAAAACAAUCAUGUUGAUGUCAAAAUCUGAUCUAGUCGGUUAGCGACUUAAUAUCAUAUUACUGCACCAGCAUUAAAUUUAUUUGGUAGAGAAUUGGCUGGUCAAUUGUCAAGAUGUCCUGCAAUCACUAGCGAUUAACCUACGAAUACCUGAAAUCACAAAAGACGGUAAGAGGCACUAGAAAUUUUUUCGGCGUGAACCUUCUGACGCUCAAGUCAGUUUAUAGGUUUACCAUAAUAAAAAUAAAUAAUUUCUAUUUAAAACAAAAAAUAAAGUUCAAAAGCUCAAAAAUAAAACCCAAUCCCAAUAUGAAAAUGAAUUUCUUUUUUUUUUUUAGCUUGGCCGAAUCCUUCUGCCUCCUAAAGAAACAUAAUAGAGAAGCAGGUAGCCAUGUUCCCUAGGUAACGCCCCACUCCCCUCUUUUAUUCCUCCCCCUCUCUUCCGUUUCCUUCUUUUGCUCACUAUCCUUUAUAAUUUUUUAUGCUUGUCUUCCCAAAAUAGCCUUUGAAUACACAAGUAAAUGUCUAGGCUUUGGUGAGGAUAGUUUGGUCAUUGCAUUUUACAAGUAAGAUGAGUGGUGGAGAAAAAUGAGGAGUGCACAUAACUCUUCAGCAAAUCCCACCAACAAUUCCAUUUUCUUAAUUAAUUAAUCUCCUUUUUUAUCCCCAAACAAAUCCUAAUGAUACUCUUAUCAGGUUUAAAACAGUACACAAAUAGUGAAAAGCUAACUAGUCUGUAGAGUAAUUUGCUAAUUGCUAUCUCCUCUCUACGCGCGCUGAAUAAUUUGUUGCAUGCAAACUUUUUAUUUUAUGCAAAUCGUACGUACUGUAACAUUGGAAUUGAUGGAUAAGCAAAAAUACAAUAAUAUUUAUGCCAAUAAAAAUAGUUUUUUUUCCUUUUUAAAUAAACACAACGCGAUGUUGCUCUGCUCUACAUUUUUGCUAUCUCUUUAUUCUUUUUUUUUUUUUGGGCUUCUUAAAGCCUCAAACUUUGACAACCAAAACUUCAUCGACCUAUGAAAAAAUCUGCAGAUUAGUUUUUAUUAUCGGAAUAAUUGUUUGAGAAUACUAAAACAAAAUAUAAAAUAAGAAAAUAGGGGGUUAAAUUAGAGGGGGAAAAAAGCCAUGUUCUAUCGAUUACUAUAGUUUAAGAAAACAAAAUCCAAUUGGGAAUUUUUUUCUUUAAUUUUUGUUUUACUUGAUUGAGAUUUCUCCUUAGUCCUUACAGUUUUAAGUUUGGAUGCCGUAGGGUUAGUAAUUUAGUACUUCCUUUGCAAGCUGAGGGCAAGAAUGAAAAUCUUUAAAGAAAUUAAAAAAGAUUAAAAAAAAGCAUACCAAUAGGUAAUUAUAAAUAACCAUAAAUAAACAUAAACAAAAUAUUUAUGAAGUAAAUUACACAUGCACAUAUUAUUUUUUUGUUUUAUUUCUUACUUGUCUAUUUUAUUUGUCUAUUUUAUUUGCUGCUUGAUAACCCGUAAAUACUAAUCUAGUACUGCUAAUUUCAGACACAAAAUUUUUAACUCUAGGCUGCAGUUUUGCUCAAAAUGAUGACCACUGGCUUCGCACCAUUUAACCGGCAUACAUUUCUACAAAUUGAACAAGGCUAUUGAUUUUCAUUAUUAUUUUUUAUUUAUUUAUAAAUUACUAUUUUAAUUUUCACUUUUUAUUGGGUUGUUUACAAUUUUAUUUUAUAAUUUCAAAUUUGUAUUUUAAAAUGCAGGUACAUUAUGUAUACAUAAUUAUUGAUUUUCAUAUGUGGGUGUUUUGAAAUAUUGCUAAAAGACCAAACUUAAUAAACUAUUUUUCAUCUUUUUUUCCCUUUUUUCCUAAAGGUUGAGUGAUAUCCGCAUUUUAAAUUCAUGUGGAACAAAAGCUAAUGAAUGCACAAAAUUAUUUUAUUUUUUCCGAGAAAAAUGGGUAAGAGAAGAAGAUUUUUCUCUUGAAAAAGAAAAACUAAUACGAUGCAAACAUAGGAAAGAGGUCAGUGUUUUGGAUUAGAAUUUAUUAUUGACCUGAAUUUUAUACUAAACUCUUUUAUAGUACUGCGAUUAAUGAACUCAUGAUUUGCUUUUGCUUUUACUUCAAGUGAAAGAAAGAGGAAACCUUUUGUUUUUUGUUUGAUUCUUGACUAUAGAUGUUACCUAUAUAGAGAGUUGAGGUAGCUGCCUUAAGUGAUGGUGAUAAAAAGAUUAAGCAGCGCACAAAAUCUGACUGUCGUCCAGACCAUCCAGCUGUGAUGGCUCUAGUUUUUUGGUUACAUUAGCUUUAGUGGAAAGGAGGGCCAAUUUAACAAAGACUAGAUUUGGUGGCUUACUAUAAUGCUUAUUCUCAAGGAAUCUAAUGUUAUAAGAUGAUUUAAUGAUCUUCUAUGAUUGUGAGUAGUAUAGUAUAAUUGAAAAGAGCCUGGGCUCCUAUGAUGAAUAUUUAAUAGUAACACAAUAUUGUGAUUGAAAAAAACACUGUUACAAUAAACUCUUCAUUUAUUCAUUGCGGAUAUUGAAUGGCAAACAGAGAAUAAAAUGAAGCAGAGGAAUCUCAUUGCUAGUAAAAUUGACCCUCUUUAAUGUUAUAUGGCACAGGUGUGUGUACAGCAAGAGCAAGUGACUUGCAGUUUUUUUUUGUAAAAUAUACAGGUUAUGACCAUGAUCAUUGUAGUUAGGUUUUGAUGAUUUUAGAUGCUUUUUUAUUUUUUUUAAAUUGUGACACCUUUGAUUUAUGGUAGUUUUGCAGAAGAAAAAAAUAUAUAUAAAAAUUAGGAAGAAUGAGUUAACUAACAAUUGCAAUCAUUACAACAAUGUUGAUGAGUGAUACAUCAUUUGAAAUUUACAUGUCAGUUGCUAAAAUGAUGAAAAAAAACAAUAAACAAUAGCAGUAAUAUUUUUAUGGAAAUUCUUGGUUUUUAUGGAAAUACUCUUGCUGAAAUUCUAAUUUUGACUUUCAACUCUUGGUUUUUAUGGAAAGUAAAAUGACUUGUUUGUUAUAUUCAUACAAUCCACUCUACAUAAUGAUUUCAUUUUUAAUAAAUGCUUGAUGAUCUCCACUGAAAAACUACUUCAAUUCUUUUGUUUUAUUUAACUUUUUGGUUGUUGAAAAUAGCCUUAAUUUUCAAAUAAUUGGAGAAAGAGUAAAGAACAUUUAACAAAUUUAUGUGCCAAAAAUAAAGGAGAAAUUGAAGAGAAAGGGUGCUUGCAGAAGUGGGUGCAAAGAUAAAUCAGUCUAUAAGAAUUAUUGUGGUUAUUAAUUUUUUGGCAAUAUAAAAAUUCUUCAGCAAAUAAAAAUUGAUUUUUUUCCGAUUUACUAAAAAAUUAAUUAAAAAAUUCGGCCACAGCAUUUUUUAUGGGUGCAUAUACCCUCCCUUUAAAAAAAAAUAAUAAUUAAUGCUUAAUAUAGUAUUAAAUACCAAAAUAUCAAUAUUUGGCUACUCAAAUUUAUAUCAUUAGGUCCUUCAAAUUUAAAAUUGAAGAUACAAAAGGAAAUAUAUAUAAAUUUCAUUCUCAUGGAAAGGAUUCUCUUAUAAUCUUAUAAUAUUUGAGUUUUGAAAUUUUUUGAAACAAAUGUAAUUUUAUUUGUGUACAAUCAAUAUUUACUUAUUUAUUAUAUUUUAAUUUGUUAACUAUCAAUCAUUUAAGUAUAUUUGGUCAGAAAAAUUAUAUCAAGAGAGAAUCCUAAUUUCACGCAAACACAAAUACAAGAUAAAUAUGUCAAUUUCUAUACUAUUCACUUUCCUGUAGAAUCAAUUAUCUAAAAUGCAAGUUUGUGGCUACAGAAAACUAAUGCAUCAUUUUCUUCUUGAUUUGAUGAGAUGACGCCAUUACAAAAAAAUAAGUACCUUAAUUGACGGGCACUGAGUGAUGUGAAUACUACCAGCCAGUUCAUCUCUUCCAGUCUUGCUUAAUCACAAUCACAAACACCACGAGAUUGACAUUUGCAUUAUAUAUAUCUUCAGCAAUCGAAACACCUUGCAUUACCAAAUUAACCGGUAACAAACAAAGCAAUCUUUCAUGGAGAGAAACUUUAGUCUCAGUAUGAUCACUGUGUCAUUAACCCACUUCCUGCUUCUUUGCUUGGUUGUUGCAGCAGCAGCAGCCGCAAGCAACAAUAUUACCACAGACCAACAAGCUCUUCUUGCCCUGAAAGAUCAUAUAACUUAUGAUCCAACCAACCUUUUUGCCCAUAAUUGGACCUCGAAUACCUCUGUUUGUACCUGGAUUGGCAUCACUUGUGAUGUCAAUAGCCAUAGAGUCACAGCCUUAGAUAUUUCUCAAUUCAAUCUACAAGGCACCAUCCCUCCUCAACUUGGAAACCUCUCUUCACUUACAACGCUUAAUCUUAGUCAUAACAAGCUUUCUGGAGACGUUCCAUCCUCCAUCUACACCAUGCAUUCGCUAAAAUUUCUUGACUUCACUGAUAACCAGCUCUCUGGUUCAGUGUCUUCCUUCGUCUUCAGCAUGUCUUCAAUAUUAGAAAUUCUUUUGACCAAUAACAGAUUUUCUGGUGAGCUUCCGAAAAAUAUUUGCAACUAUCUUCCUUAUUUGAAAGCCCUUUUCUUAAACAAAAACAUGUUUCAUGGCAAAAUUCCUUCUGCUUUAUCAAAGUGCAAACAACUGCAACAAUUAAAUUUGCAGUUCAAUAAUUUAUCCGGUGCAAUACCGAAAGAAAUCGGCAACUUGACUAUGCUCAAAGGCAUAUAUCUCGAAUACAACAAACUCCACGGUAUGUUCAUAAUACUAUGUAAAUGUUUUAAUUUCUCACUUGUUAUUUUCUUGAAUACUUUAGACAAGAUCUCGUAAGGGAGAUAUUUUUGGAUCUGUGUUAAUUUGCCAGGUGAGAUACCCCACGAAAUCGCUAAUCUUCGAAAUCUAGAGGAUUUAUUGCUUGGAAUGAACAACCUAGUUGGUGUGUUACCAGCUCCAAUCUUCAACAUGUCAACACUGAAAUUAUUUGACCUCAUAAAUAACUCUCUCUCCGGAAGUCUUCCAUCAAGAAUAGACCUUUCACUUCCAACUGUCGAGUUUUUUGGCUUGGCACUGAAUAGAUUUUCUGGAACCAUUCCUAGUUCCAUCACCAAUGCUUCUAAGCUCACCGUUCUAGCGUUGGGAGAGAACACAUUUUCGGGCUUCAUUCCAAACACAAUUGGUAAUUUAAAAAACCUUGAGUGGCUCAGCUUGGAGAAUAAUUACUUGAAAUCUUCAACCUCAAAAUUGAGCUUUCUUUCCUCUUUGGCAAAUUGCAAGAAAUUAAGAUUCUUAAACUUAGCAGGCAAUCCACUUGACGGCUUCCUUCCAAGUUCAAUAGGUAAUCUUUCUGUGUCUUUGGAAACACUUUUCAUCGGCAAUUGCAGUAUUAGUGGCAACAUUCCUCAAGCAAUUAGCAAUUUAAGCAACUUGUUGACCUUAGCAUUAGAAUUCAAUAAAUUGACUGGACCAAUUCCAAUUACAUUUGGCCGACUACAGAAACUCCAAGGCUUAGAUCUUGCAUUCAAUAAGUUGGUAGGUUCAUUCCCAGAUGAGCUUUGCCAUCUAGCAAGGCUGGAUCAAUUGUACUUAUUUGGCAAUAAGCUUUCAGGAUCUAUACCUUCAUGCCUAAGUAAUCUCACUUCUCUAAGAUCUCUCUACUUAGGGUCUAAUAGGUUUACUUCUGUUAUUCCCUCAACUUUCUGGAGCCUAAAAUACAUCUUGUUCUUUGACUUUUCAUCAAAUUUCUUGGUUGGUACUCUUUCUUUCGACAUAGGUAAUUUGAAGGUGCUUCUAGGAAUAAAUUUAUCAGAAAAUAACUUAUCGGGUGAUAUGCCAGCCACAAUUGGAGGACUGAAAGAUCUUCAAUUUAUGGACCUAGCAUAUAAUAGAUUGGAAGGCCCAAUUCCUGAAUCAUUUGGUGACUUGACAAGUUUGGAGGUUUUGAAUUUGUCAAAAAAUAAAAUCUCUGGGUCUAUUCCAACAUCCAUAGAGAAACUCAUUUACCUUCGAGAGUUAAAUCUCUCUUUCAAUAAACUUGAAGGUGAGAUUCCUAGUGGAGGAAUUUUUACCAACUUCACAGCUGAGUCAUUUAUGGGAAAUGAGUUAUUGUGUGGUUUACCAAAUCUUCAAGUCCAACCAUGCAAACUUAGCAAGCCUAGGACAGAACAUAAAUCAAGGAAAAAGAUACUUCUCAUUGUGAUUGUUUUGCCAUUGAAGAUUGCUCUAACGAUAGCAAUCACUCUAGCUCUCAAAUCUAAGCUGAUCGAAUGUAGAAAAAGAAGCACAGAGUUAUCAAAUGAUAGUAUCUUGUCAUCACAAGCAACACUAAGAAGAUUUUCAUACUUAGAACUUUUACAAGCAACAGAUAAUUUUGCUGAAAACAACAUAAUUGGCAGAGGAGGUUUUGGUUUCGUUUAUGGAGCAAGACUUGAAGAUGGGAUGAAGAUUGCAAUAAAAGUGUUCACCAGCAAUGUGCAAGCGCAUUGAAGAGUUUUGAGGCUGAAUGUGAAGUGUUAAAAAAUAUUCGCCAUCGAAACCUUAUCAAAGUUAUCAGCAGUUGCUCGAACGAUAACUUCAAAGCAUUAGUCCUAGAAUACAUGUCCAACGGGAGCUUGGAGGAUUGGCUGCAUUCUAGCAAUUAUGUGCUGAAUAUAUUUCAGAGGUUGAACAUAAUGAUUGACGUUGCAUCAGCUUUAGAAUAUCUCCACUUCGAUCAUUCAACUGCUAUUAUUCAUUGUGACUUAAAGCCUAGUAAUGUAUUGUUGGACGAAAAUAUGGUUGCUCAUUUGAGUGAUUUUGGCAUAGCAAAGCUUUUAAGUGGAGAGGAUGAGUCUACGAUGCGAACAAAAACCCUUGCCACUAUAGGUUAUAUGGCACCAGGUUUGCUUCAAACAACUUUUUUUUUAGUUCAUUUUAAAUUUUCUAAAUCAUUGAUUUUUACGAUCCUCAUAUCAAAUUGUUACUGAUUAUUUAUCUAAUUGUGAAAUUAAUUUGAUUCAUAGAGUACGGCAUAGAAGGAGAAGUAUCUACAAAAAGUGAUGUUUACAGCUAUGGGAUUAUGUUGAUGGAAACUUUUACCAAGAAAAAACCCACAGAUGAAAUUUUUGUUGGAGAAUUGAGCUUAAAGCGUUGGGUUAAUGACUUGCUUCCUACUUCAUUAGAGGAAGUUGUGGACAAAACUCUGCUAAGUGGAGAGGAAAAACAUUCUUUAGGAAAGGAGCAAUGUCUGUUGUCUAUCUUUAGUUUGGCUCUGGAGUGUACAAUGGAAUCACCGGAAAAGAGGAUUAAUGCAAAAGAUAUUGUUACCGGAUUACUCAAGAUAAAAGCCGCAUUGAGUAAAAGGAUAGGAAAUUUAAGUUAAUUUCGUUUGCUUUCAUUGAUAGUUAAUCUGAAUUCAUGUAAUAAGUGUAGGAAUCUUAUAUCUUUUCCUUUCAUAUAUUUUUUUUCCUUGAGAAAACUGUUGUAGUCAUCUUGUUUCCGUGGACAGAGUUGAUUUAGUUUUUCCAUGAAAUGCUACUGAUGACAUUUGUUUUAUACUUUCUCUUUUUUUGCAUGUGUUUUGGCUGCAGGCUAAGAAGUCUAACUACACUAAAAGAAUAUGAUUUAAUUUAUUAAACAAAACUUCAAGUUCAAGAAAAGUAUUUCACUGCCCCUAAUGCUUUGGACACCUACUGGUAGGUUUGUACGUGUCCUCAACUUUUUUUUGGAGCACAAAAUUCGAGUCCCAUGGAGUCUCAAACAUUCCUUUCCCACAUCCCGAGCACGCUGAAUUUAUCAGACUGACUGUUGUGCGCGGAAUGCGGAAUCAAGCACGCCAAAUAAUUACAGAAAAAUAAAUGACACAAGAAUUUACGUGGUUCGGUAAUUAAACCUACAUCCACGGAGGUAAAAAAAAAAAUUGUUUAUUUAACAAUUAAUAGAGUACAAAUAUUUGAGUAACGAAUCUCACUUCCCAAAAACCCAAAUAUACCCAGUACUCUCACACUCUGCAGGAAAGAUAAAUUCCCCAGACAAACUUCUCUCACUUCUCUCAAAAGCUUAGAAACUUAUAAGCUUAACAAUUUUAGGAUACCAAAGAAUGGAAGAAGUGCCAUCUAUUUAUAGGGAAAAUAAUGGCACUAUUGAACCAACCCUUUUACUAUUCCACCUAACCUAAGCAAAUAGUCAAUGGUGUCCAUUUGGCAAAUUUGACAAAUUUGCCAACUUUCCAUUUUUUCUUCAAAUGUUUGGUAGCUCUUUGAAAAAUUGCCACAUACAUGACUUUUCAACACUGACAACCGGGACAUAUACAAGAGUGAAAUGUUCAGAGCACGCUAAGUUCCAGUGAAAGAGAUUAAUUUACGGAAACUAAAGCCAAGAGAAUAAAGGACAACACUUAUGUGAAGCGACAUAAUUGUAUUGAUAGCACAAUGUCAAAUUCAUACAGAGAUCUAGUAUACUAUUUACAGCCGGUAAGGGCUAAGAAUUGAUGUAGCUAUAAUACAAAUACGAUAAGGUAUGUUGUGCGCUAUUGUUUUUAUUCUCCAAUCAAUCUUGACCCUUGAUGCUUGGUUCUCAAUCUUGUCCAUUGAUCUUCUCUGAUUUUGGAGACUUCAAGACCUUUCAGUAUCAUUCCUUGUUAUUGGUGUCUUCCGUGCUGUAGAAUUCAUAUACAAGUUUUCCCGCCGACUUGCCAAGUAUUCGUUCAUUGGUGCAUUUUUAUCAAACAGCUGGGCUACUUAUGCCAGACACCGCCUGGUUUAACUCCCCCUCUCUAGCUCAACUAUCUGGGAAGACAAUUAAUUGAGCUUGUUUCACAAGUAUAUGAAUCUGAAAGUUAAAUUUUAAAAAUUAUAUUCGGACUCUACAUUUUGUAAUGAACAUUGGUUUGACUUGUUAUACAUUUAUGCGUACAUAAUUAAUAACCGAUUCUCAAGUGCGGACAUUCAAGAGCACUGCUUAAAGACCAAAUAUUUUGAUUUACUACUUUUUGUCUUUCAAUUUUCUUUUAAGUUCUGAUGACGUCCGCAUUUUAAAAUCCUGUGGAACAAAGGCCUGAGGUGCAUAUAAAAUUCUUUUAUUUUUCAGAGGAAAAUGGGUGAGAGAAGAAGAUUUGGCAAAAGAAUUGCAACGGCAUUUGAAACUAGUCUUCGUCUUUUAAUUCUUUUAUAUUUGUUUUUGUUAUUGAUGUUAGCUUGGAUGUGUGCGCGUGUGACUGAAUUCAACUUAUAUUUGUUUUUGUUAUUAUUAUUAAUUUUAUUUGUUUUUGUUAAAUUGGACCACCCCAUUAUCAAAUCAACACGGUUUAAUUAUUAUUAAUUCUACACUUUUUUUACGAACAAAUAUAAAAUAAAAGGACAUUUACAUCCCAAAUUUUAGUGCAAUAGUCAUCAACAUCCCUAAAUUUUUAAAAAGAGACAUCAAAAUCAUUUUUUGAUCUUAAUACUCUUAUACGGUACCUCUAUUAUUCCCAAAAAUUGACUCUAAUGUUUUAUAAUAAAUAAAAAUAAAACUUUAAAAUAAAUGUAAUUACAUAUACAUUUUAAAAUAAUUUCAAUAUUUAAAAAAUAUUUUUAACAUUUUACAAUCUAUUAUAUUUUAUUAUAUUAAAGUAAAUUUUAUUAUAAAUAGAAUCAUAUUAUUAAAAUAAAUGCAUUAAAAUUUAAAUUAUUUUGAAUAUCAUGUAAGAUAAUAAUUUUAACAUUACUAGUGUGUCAGAUUUUUUUUUUUAAUUGUAGAAUGUAUUUAGCGCAAAUAUUUAUUUAAAAUCUCUACAAUAAAUAAAAGAUUUAAAUAAAUAUAAUAAUUUACAUAUCUAAAUUUAUUAAAAUAUUUUAAUAUUGUUAGUCUACUGCAUAGAUCACAAUAUUUAUAUAACAUUUGUAUUUAUUAAAAACUUUAAAAUCAAUUCUUUUGAGAAUAAUAGAGGUAAAGAGUAUAAUGGUAAUAAAGGGGACUUUGUACCCCUUUCUAAAAACUUGAGGAUGUUAGUGACCAUUUCUCCAAACCUUCAGUGUGUUGAUGUAAUUGUCAAGAAAUACAGUAUCUAAACUUUGAAGUAACAAGGAUCACCUUUUAUGAAAUCAUAUUGCUUUUCAUGAUAGACUGUUACCAUUUUUCUACGAUAGAUUCAGUAAAAAAUUGAUUAAGAUGUCUACUCAUGGAGAGUGAAAUUUAUGUUCAAAACUAAUUUCAACAGGCAUGCACCAUCGAACGUGUUUCUCAUGGAAAAGUUGCUUGGAUUUUAGGGACUUUAUGUUCAAAUAUUCAACACGGCAUGCACCACGCGAUUGAACAUGCAAAAGUAGGGGUCUAUUUUCAUUUUCAGCAUUAUAGAAAUCUUAAUUUUGUUCAUUAUUUAUUUUGAUCAGCACUCUUGAAUCUCCAUGUAUUGCCAAUCACUAAGAAACAACAUAUUCUUAUUAAUUAUAUCCUCUAAUGGAGAGAACUCAUUGUCUCAGUAAGAUCACUGUGUCAUUAACCCACAGCAUGCUGAUUUGCUUGGUUGCUGCAGCAAGCAAAAAUAUUACCACAGAUCAAAAAGCUCUUCUUGCCCCAAAAGAUCACAUAACUUAUGCUCCAACUAAUCUUUUGACCCAAAAUUGGACCUCAAAUACCUCUGUUUGUACGGGGAUUAGCAUCACUUGCGAUGUCAAUAGCCAUGAAGUUGCAGCCUUGGAUAUUUCUCAAUUCAAUCUACAAGGCACCAUUAUUCCAAACACAACUGGUAAUUUAAGAAACCUUAAGUGGCUCGGCUUGGCUUAUAAACUACUUGACAUCUUCAACUUCAAAAUUGAGCUUUCUUUCCUCUUUGGCAAGUUGCAAAAAAUUAAGAAUCUUAGGCUUACUGGAAAUCCACUUGACCGUAUCCUUUCAGGUUCAAUAGGUAAUCUUUCUAUGUCUUAGGAAAGGUUUCACAUCGCCAAUUGCAGCAUUAGUGGCAGAAUUCCUCAAGUAAUCAGCAAUUUAAGCAACUUGUUGGCUGGUGUGCAAAAUUUUAAUAUACUUGCAAGCGCAUGAAUCUAGAAAUAGAAUAAUAGUAACGAGGUCAAACCCACAUGGAUCGUUAUAAACUGACAAAAGAAUAGCUGCUGGUCUAGAGGUGGCUUACUACAUUCAUACAAGAUCGUUUCUUGUUCUCUAAGAUAUGCAUUAUACUAAUAAUGCUAUACAAACUUAUCCAAAGGUCUAUUAAUUAAUUCAUUAAUCCAACGGCUUGUUAGGUUGUCCUUUCAUCCAUACAGCUGCAUGCUUGUCUUCUUAUAUACUGAUCUUAUCCUCUAGAUCUGUUCAGGCUGAGUGAUCUCUCACAUUUGCCAUAUCAGAAGAUUACAUGCCAGUAAUGUCAUGUGAUGACCUGUUGCUUGGUGAUGUCGAAUGCCUGGCCUUUACUUCUCUGAGCAAAUUGAUCAAACAAUUUGUUCAUUUUAUCGAACACCUUCACCAACCAACAUUUUAUUUACUUUUGAUGGUUUUUAAGUGCAUUUAAUGAUUAUUUUUGCUCCAACUUCAGAUAAACCAAACGCUAGUAUAUUAGAAGAAGAAGUUCACUGGCAGCUAACCAGGUCAAAAUAGCGACUCUAUAUAAAAAAUAUAUAUAAAAAAUAAAUAAAUAAAAUGGGACUUUAUUUAAUUAAUUGUUGGUCUAAAGCUGUUGGUAUCCGUUGGCCACGUUUCUGAAGAGUCAUCUCAAAUCGAAAUUUUUAACGAACAAAGAACUUUGCUUUUUUCCAUUGUUCACAUUGCUGCUGGCUGCCACCCGUGAGAUAAAAGUGCUACAAGCUUUCCGUCGACAUUCCCCCCUCCAUUUUCACCAUGCAUAAGCUGAAAUUUCUUGAUUUCAGUGAUAAUCAGCUCUCUGGUUCUUUGUCCUCCGUCACCUUCAACUUGUCUUCAGUAUUAGAUAUUCGUUUGGAUAGUGACAAACUCUCUGGUGAACUCCCAGUAAAUAUUUGCAAUUAUCUUCACUAUUUAAAAGUCCUUUUUUUGGCCAAAAACAUGUUUCACGGUCAAAUACCACUGGCUUUAUCCAAGUGCAAACGGCUACAACUGUUAAAUUUGGGGUUCAAAAAAUUAUCAGGAGCCAUACCGAAAGAAAUCAGCAACUUGACUAUACUUCGAAAGAUAUCUCUCAGAAAUAAUAAACUUCGCGGUAUAAAUGUUUAUAAUAUAUACUUUGUAAAUGCUCUUAUUAAUCAUUCUUGAACUUUCUUAGAUACUUUUGUCUAAAUAAGAUUUUGCAAAAGAGUUUUUUGCAUCUCUGUUAAUUUUGCAGGCGAGAUACCUCACGAAAUUGGGUAUCUUCCAAAUCUAGAGAAUUUGGUGCUUGGAUUCAACAACCUAGUAGGUGUUGUACCUGCUGCAAUCUUCAACAUGUCAACAGUGAAAAAAAUUUACCUAUUAGAUAACUCUCUCUUGGGAAGUUUUUCAUUAGGAAUAGACCUUUCACUUCCUAACGUUGAGAGACUGAACCCGGGGCUGAACAGAUUUUCUGGAACCAUUCCUAGUUUCAUCACCAACGCAUCUAAACUUGUAUAUCUAGAUAUGGGAACAAACUCUUUUUCGGGCAUUAUUCCGAACACAAUUGGUAAUAAUCUAAGAAACGUUGACUGGCUCGACUUAACAUACAAUCGCUUGACAUCAUUAACUCUAGAAUUGAGCUUUCUUUCCUCUUUGACAAUUGCAAGAAAUUAAGAUUCUUAGGCUUAACAGGCAAUCCGCUUGACGGUGUCCUUCCAACUUCAAUAGGUAAUCUUUCUAUGUCUUUGGAAAACAUUUACAUCUCAAAUUGUAAUAUUGGUGGCAGCAUUCCUCAACUAAUCAGCAAUUUAAGCAAUUUGUUGCUCUUAGAUUUAGAAGGCAAUAAGUUGACUGGAUCAAUUCCAGUCACAUUCAGCCGGUUGCAGAAACUCCAGGGUUUAUAUCUUCCAUUUAACAAGUUAGCAGGAUCAAUCCCAGACCAGCUUUGCCAUUUAGCUAGACUGAAUACAUUAGGUUUGGCUGGUAAUAAGUUUUCUGGAUCAAUCCCUUCAUGUUUAGGUAAUCUCACUUCUCUAAGGUCUCCCGACUUAGGGUCCAAUAGGCUUACAUCAGUCUUGCCCUCAACUUUUUGGAAUCUAAAAGACAUCUUGUUCUUUGACCUUUCAUCAAAUUCUUUGGAUGGUCCUCUUUCUUUAGACAUAGGAAAUUUAAGGGUUGUGAUAGGAAUAAAUUUAUCACGAAAUAACUUUUCAGGUGAUAUCCCAAGUACAAUUGGAGAUCUAAAAGACUUACAGAAUAUCUCCUUAGCAUGUAAUGGAUUGGAAGGUCUAAUUCCUGAAUCAUUUGGUUACUUGACAGGUUUGGAAAUUUUAGAUUUGUCAAAUAACAAAAUCUUUGAGUUUAUUCCGAUAUCUUUUUAAAAACUCUUGUACCUCAAAGAGCUAAAUUUGUCUUUUAACAAACUAGAAGGAGAGAUUCCUAGGGGAGGACCUUUUGCAAAUUUCACAGCUAAGUCAUUCAUGGGAAAUGAGAAAUUGUGUGGUUUACCAAAUCUCCAAUUCCCAAAAUGCAAGCGUCGGACGCGUCGAAAAUCAAAGAAAAAGAUGCUUCUACUUGUGAUUGUCUUGCCAUUGAGUACUGCUCUAAUAAUCGCAGUCCCUCUAGCUCUAAAAUAUAAAUCGAUAAGAGGUGGAAAGAGUAGUACUAGGUUGUUAAAUGAUGGUAUCUUGCAUCACAAGAAACACUAAGAAGAUUUUCAUACCAAGAUCUUUUUCGUGCAACAGAAAAAUUUAGUAAAGAAAAUCUAAUUGGCGUAGGAAGUUUUGGUUCUGUUUAUCGAGGAAGAAUUCAUGAUGGAAUUGAGGUUGCAAUAAAAGUGUUUCACCAGAAUUGUGCAAUGGCAUUGAAGAGUUUUGAGGCUGAAUGUGAAGUGAUGAAAAAUAUUCGUCAUCGAAAUCAUGUCAAAAGAAUCAGUAGUUGUUCGAACGAAGAUUUCAAAGCAUUAGUUCUAUAAUAUAUGCCCAAUAGGAGCUUGGAGGAUUGCCUGCAUUCUACCAAUUGUUCGUUAAAUAUUUUUGACAAGUUGAACAUAAUGAUAGAUGUUGCAUCGGCUUUGGAAUAUCUCCACUUCAGUCAUUCAACUCCUGUCAUUCAUUGCGACUUAAAGCCCAAAAAUGUAUUGUUAGAUAAAAAUAUGGUUGCUCAUUUCAGUGAUUUUGGAAUUGGAAGGCUCUUAACUGGAGAUCGAUCAAUGAUACAAACAGAAACACUUGUCACAAUUGGUUAUAUGGCACCAGGUUUGCUCUGAAACAAUUUUUGUUUUUUUUUUUUGGGUUUUCAUUCAGACUUUCCAAAUUAUUAUUUUUCCAUGAUCCUUCUAUCCUAAUGUUAUUGAUUAUUUAUCUAAUGAUAAAAUCAAUUUGGUUGAUAUAAUAUGGCAUAGAAGGACGAGUAUCUACAAGAAGUGAUGUUUAUAGUUAUGGAAUUAUGUUAAUAGAAACAUUUACUAGGAAGAAACCCACAGAUGAAAUGUUUACUACAGAAUUGAGCUUAAAACUUUGGGUUAACAACUUGCUACCUGCUUCAUUGAUGGAAGUUGUGGACAAAACUCUUUAAGUAGGGAAGAAGAAGAUUUUGCUGCGAUGGAGCAAUGUGUGUUAUCAAUCUGAGUUUAGCCAUGGAGUACGUGAUGGAAAUGCCAGAAAAAAGGAUCGAUCCAAUAGAUAUUGUAACUAAACUAUUGAAAAUAAGAGACAUAUUGAGUAAAAGGUUAGCAAAUUUAGGUUAAUCUCAUUUCUUGGCAUUGAUACUUGAAUCAAUAUACACUUAAUUUGAAUCAAUGUAUGAGUGUAAGAAUAUGAUAUAUUUUCCUUUAAUUUUUUUUCCUGAGAGAAAUAUCAUAGCUGUCUUGUUUCAAAUUAAUUUUAUACUUUUUUUUCUUUUUCUAAGAUCAUGCCAAAGAGUUGUAGGAAGAUCAGCCACAAAUUCAAAGCCGGCUAAGGCAUUUGAAGAUGGAGAGAUUGGUAGUUUUUUUCCCAUUAAAAUUAAUAUAUAUCACUUAUCCCAACUAUUUUCAUAAUGCCUAAUAAGCUCUUGGCACCAUAACUUUACCAUAUAACCCUUAUUUUGAAAUACACUUUUAUUCAUAUUAAUAUUAAUUAAAUAAAUCAUAUGAGUUGAAAUUAAAAAUUAAAAAAUUAAAUACCAAAAAAAAGAAAUAUACGUUUUAGUGUGCUAAAAAAUUAAUAUUAAAAUAUUUUUCUUAUAUAUAUAUAUAUAUUAUUCUCAAAAUAAUGUAUCAAGCAAAUGACUUUUUUCUCUUCUUUUUCUUUAACUUUUUUUGUGCUAGUAGAGUUUUUAGAUAUUAUAAAAACAAUAAAAGAAUAAGUGAUAUAUAUUAAUUUCAGUUGAAAAUAACCAACAAUCCCCCUUUAAUUACGUGUCACACCCAACUUAUAAAUUCUAUCAAUCAUGUAAUUAUGGUUGGUUUCUCUUUUUCUUUUUUUUGCAUGUGUUUAGGUAGAAUAGUGGUUUGGUUGCACUCUAAGAAGUCAAACUACACUAAAAGAAUAUGAUUUAAUUUAUUAAACAUAACUUCAAGUUCAAGAAAAGUAUCUUAUUGCCCCCAAUGCUUUGGACACCUAUUGGUAGGUCUGUACGUGUCCUCAACUUUUUUUUGGAGCACAAAAUUCGAGUCCCAUGGAGACUCAAACAUUCCUUUCCUUCAUCCCGAGGGCGCCUUCUGUCCUCUGUUUCUGUUUCCACACACAAAUAGCAAAAAGAAAUUAGAAUGACAACUGGGACAUAUAUAAGAGUGAAAUAAUUAAAAAAUUAUGCUUUUUUGUUUGUCGUGUUAAAAUCGUAAGUACCGAUGUACUGUGAAAGAGAUUAAUUUACAGAAACUGAAGCCAAGGGUUCAAAAAAAAAGUGCAAAGAGAAUAAUUGUAUUGGUAGCACAAUGUCAUAUUCAUACAGAGAUCAAGUAUAUUAUUUACGGCUGGUAAGGACUAAGAAUUGAUGUAGCUAGAAUGCAAAGAUGAUAAGGUAUGUUGUGCACUAUUGUUUUAUUCUACAAUCAAUCUUGACCCUUGAUGCUUGGCUCUUAAUCUUGUCCAUUGAUCUGGUCAACUAUCUGGGAAGACAAUUAAUUGAGCUUGUUUCACAAUUAUAUGAAUCUGAAAGUUAAAUUUUAAAAAUUACAUUCGGACUCUACGUUUUCUAAUGAACAUUGGUUUGGCUUAUAAGCUUAUUAUGCUUAGGCUUAGGCUUGGUAAGAUUAUCGGUCGGUAGAUGAACAAGUUUUAGAGCUUUCGAAUUCAUGCCAAUUAAUUUUCAACUAGGCUAUUACCACAAUAAACAUUUAGAUGAACUAUUAUUGAAAUUUUAUUGAGAAGUGGAACAUGUCGCAUACCAAUGCACGGACAUAUCUUCAAAUAGUGGUAACUCCACACAACAUGGCACAACAAAUUAAGAGUUAUAUAGAUAAAAUCUUUCUACAAUUACAAUAGAUUGAAUUUAGUAAGAAAUUGAUUGUUAUCAUUUUUCUCAUGGAAAAGUUGUUUGGAUUACAAUAGAUUGAAUUUAUGUUCAAAUAUUCAACACGGCAUGCACCACGCGACUGAACUUGCAGAAGGAGAGGUCCAUUUUCAUUUUCAGCAUCACAGAAAUCUAAAUUUGUUCAUUAUAUAUUCUGAUCAGCACUUGAACAUCCAUGCAUACUCCUAUUAAUUAUAUCCUCUAAUGGAGAGAACUCAUUGCCUCAGUAUGAUCACUGUGUCAUCAACCCACUGCCCGCUUCUUUGCUUGGUUGUUGCAGCAAGCAACAAUAUUACCACAGAUCAACAAUAGUUUGUCCAUUUGUUUCAGUGAGGUCGUCAUUAAAAAUUAAUUUUCAUAUUGAUUUUCUUAAUUAUAAAUAAUACUAAUGAUAUUUCAUAGUUAUAAAUAUAUUAGAAUUAAUCAAAAUCAUUUUUUAGUGCGGCAUGGCUAAAACUACCUUCUUCUUUUUUUUUUAUAAGUAAUUACUACUUUAAGGAAAAUACUCCUAUUUUCAGGGAAAAGUCAAGUACCUGUAGUUGUGAAGACUCGAGCUCACCCUCUUAUGAUAAAUCUUCAUAUCAAUUACAUAAAUAUCCUCUAAGUUUUUAGUUAACUAUUCAAAAUUCGAUGUUAUACGGGUAUUUCAUUUAUUUGAGUAGGGGUUAGGGGUCAAUUGGAUACAAAUUCAAAAUUAUCCUUACUUGAGAAGGUGAUAAAAAUUGGGGAUUUAGUUUGGGUGUCAUUAGCUACAAAUAUUAAACUCAUACAUCUAAUUCAAAAUUGCAUCCAGGUUCAUUGCAGCUAAGGCUUGUGGAAUUUCCUCAGUAAGAUGUGAGUAGUCAUACCUACGUCGACAUUCAAUGGCUGUAUGUUUCGGUAAAUGACAAAUUUGGCAUAUGACAGUUUCUUCAUUGACUUCCUCAGCUUGUUGUUUGGAUUGAUUCUGAAUUUUGUGCCAAGGCUGUCCAGAAUUAUUUUGUCGAGGUUGCUGCCACUGUUGUCCCGAAUUUCCUUGCCAUGAUUGUUGCCCUUGUUGACUUGGAUUAUUGUUUGAUUUUUGCCAUGGCUGACUUGCAUUAUUAUUCCAACUUUUUCCACCAUUGUAGUUGAUUUUUUGACCACUUGAAUCAGCCAAAUUUUGUCCUCCUGCUGCUGUAAAACCACGACCUUUUGAGUUAAAGAAACCUCCAUUUCCACGACCUUUUCCCUUGCCUCGUUGGCUAAAAAAGGCUUGAGCCAGAUUGAUUGUAUUCUUCUUUUCUUCUUCAAAAUUAAUAAGAGUUUGUUCAUGAUUUUCGAGGGCCAUGACAAACUGCUUAAAUGAGGGAUAAGGUGGUUUUGAAAGUUGAGCAAGUUUGAAGUCUUGACUUUAUCGAAGUCAUUCACUGGUUUAUUUAUUGCAGCCAAACAAUCACAGAUAUGCUUGUAUUUGCGCACAUACUCUUCAACUGAUAGAGAUCCCUUUUUAAACCGAGAGAAUUACUAUAUUUACACAAUUAACCUUGGCUAGAAUUAAUUGUCCAGAUUGGAUGAUAACUAGAGAAUAGAAAUGAAGAAAAGGAAGCACACAACACCGAGAAGAGUAAUAAUUAAUGCUGCCAUUGACGAAAUGUUUUAUAUUACUCUUCUUUCUUGGUAUUUAUUUAUUUACAAUUUUUAAUGUAAAUAUACAGUUGUUGGGCUAAUAUCUUAUUUACUUUUGAAUGUAUUAGAUGCCUUUUCUUUUUUCUUGGUUCAUAAUAAUUUUGUAGAAAUUCCUCAAGUUUCCCUAAAUGAUAGCACAUAUUCAUAAUUGGAUUGAUUGAGUAAUAAUAAAAUAUAUUUAUUUGGCAAACGGCAGUUAGGCUUUCUUCUGAUGCAGAUUAAUUAGAGAGAAUAUAUAACAAUUUUAAGCUCGUCAGAUUCGGAACCUGCUUAUCUGUCGUGUGGGGAUCACUUCUGUGUCUUAUUUUUCUAGAAAAAUCUGGACCAUUGGAUUUCCCAUUAUUCAAUAGAUAAAUGUUUGAUCUUGAUUCUUGAUUAAGAUCGAAGUUUGAUUCUAACCAAAAUGAUGUCAGAUUCAGAUUGCGAAGCAAGCAAAUUGAAAGUAACUUGUUCUAUUUUGAUAAACACUAGUUCUAAUAAAAAAUUUCUAAGUGUAUAUAUUUUUUUUAUUGUGUUCAAUUUAACUAGUCAAAUCUAUUUUUAAAUAUUUUAUUAACAAUGAUAUGAAAAUAUUCGAACCCCUUGUCAUUGUAAAGUGAAUUACUAUCCAACUACACCAAAUAAUGUUUUCAAAUUGUAAACUGCAAAUCGUGUGUUUGCUCCAUUACAGCGUUUCUUCAAUUUAAAAAAGAGAAUCAUUUGCAUUCUAGAUUAAUCGUGGGUCUAUAUCCAAAUCUAAAAAUUGACUAAAUUCUUAAUCCUAACAAGAAAAAUUGAAGAUUAAAAACGACUAAUUUGGUACCAUACCACUAUUGUAACAUAGGUGGAUCCUCUAUUAAUUGGAGUAAAGAUUGAAUUAUCUCAUUUAUUAAGAUUUAUCAAAAUCUUGUAUCAAAAUCUAUUAAUGAUAUAGGUUCAAGGAUGAAAGAGUCACUUCAUUACUUUUGAGUUCCCAAAUAGAUGAAUGGAUGUUAUUUUUGGAUAGGUGCUAAAUCGAAUUAAGUUGUAGAUAAGAUAGAAAUGGAUUUGGAGAGAUUGGAAUCCUAGGUAAUCCGGUGCACGUUGUCGUGUUAAAUUCUCGUUGACUUCACGUUGACUGAAGCAUUAUUGGAAGAAACAAGUUUAUUGAGGUGAGGCCUUUGAGAUUGUAAGUGUUAAAUCUGAGAAGAAUACCCACACACCCAUUAUCCUAUUACUCUUAUAUCACAUGAAGAGAAUUCAACAUUUGAUUCACAUGGAACAAAAUUGUGAGGAUUGCGAGGGUUGAUGGAAUAUAAUUUAGAUACAAAGUGUUUACCAGUGCGAUGCUUCACAAGUGUUUUCAAUCAUAGUGAUUGUUUUAUCUGCACGUGGAUAUAAUCACAUGUCAGAAUUUUUUUCCUUAAAUUAUGAUCUUAUUUAGUACUGAGGUGUUAUAUCUUUUAAUGUACAAUUAUUGUUGGAAAAAAGUUGCAACUAUCAAAUAAAAUUAAUACUAUGUGCUAAAUAUAAUUGUUAAAUAAUAAUUUUGACAAAAUUAGUGAAGUUAAAUAGAUUUUUUUUUUAUCAUCCAAGUAUAAAAUCAAAUCAACUUAACUUCUAAGUUCUAUAUCGGCUACUGUUUAUCAUAUCUUUUAGUUUUGUAACUUUAAAGUUAUAGUUACCCAACCUCAAUUCUAAACAAGACCUAUAAAGAUCAAAGAUUUCCUCAUUAAAUUAUAUGUCUUGUGAUUGCUUAUUUAAUUUAUAUUUUUGUUAUUUAUCUUUAUUAAUUAUAAUCAUCUUUUUAUAAAUUAAAAUUGAAGGAAGUUGAUUGAUGUUGUUGACACACACACACACACACACGCACGCACACACUCGCAAAGAUAUAUUGGAAGUGCUUACGUCGACUCGAAGUUGUUGGGAAUUAAUGCAUGUAUUGAUUUAUUGGGAGUGUUUAAAUUGAUUUAUUAAUUGAAUAUUGUUUGAUUGCUUCAUAUCCAUUCUAGAAAGUUUAUUUCUUUGUGAAAUUUCAACGAAAUAUGUUUUUUUUUUUAAAUAAGGGUGUUCUAAAUCAUUUUAAAAAAUAUAUGGACUAAUUAGAAUUAAUUAUUAGGUAAUUAACUCAAUUUGUACAGGGUGAAACAACAUUUAUCCUAAUUAUAUCAUGAUAAAUACUUUUCUGAUUAGAAUUAGGAAAUCAUAGGUUAUUGAAUUGUUUUUUUUUUCCUUUGCGAAUGGAUUAGAGAAUUAGAAAACAUCAUGUUGAUGUCAAAAUCUGAUCUAGUCNNNNNNNNNNNNNNNNNNNNNNNNNNNNNNNNNNNNNNNNNNNNNNNNNNNNNNNNNNNNNNNNNNNNNNNNNNNNNNNNNNNNNNNNNNNNNNNNNNNNAGCAUUAAAUUUAUUUGGUAGAGAAUUGGCUGGUCAAUUGUCAAGAUGUCCUGCAAUCACUAGCGAUUAACCUACGAAUACCUGAAAUCACAAAAGACGGUAAGAGGCACUAGAAAUUUUUUCGGCGUGAACCUUCUGACGCUCAAGUCAGUUUAUAGGUUUACCAUAAUAAAAAUAAAUAAUUUCUAUUUAAAACAAAAAAUAAAGUUCAAAAGCUCAAAAAUAAAACCCAAUCCCAAUAUGAAAAUGAAUUUCUUUUUUUUUUUUAGCUUGGCCGAAUCCUUCUGCCUCCUAAAGAAACAUAAUAGAGAAGCAGGUAGCCAUGUUCCCUAGGUAACGCCCCACUCCCCUCUUUUAUUCCUCCCCCUCUCUUCCGUUUCCUUCUUUUGCUCACUAUCCUUUAUAAUUUUUUAUGCUUGUCUUCCCAAAAUAGCCUUUGAAUACACAAGUACAUGUCUAGCCUUUGGUGAGGAUAGUUUGGUCAUUGCAUUUUACAAGUAAGAUGAGUGGUGGAGAAAAAUGAGGAGUGCACAUAACUCUUCAGCAAAUCCCACCAACAAUUCCAUUUUCUUAAUUAAUUAAUCUCCUUUUUUAUCCCCAAACAAAUCCUAAUGAUACUCUUAUCAGGUUUAAAACAGUACACAAAUAGUGAAAAGCUAACUAGUCUGUAGAGUAAUUUGCUAAUUGCUAUCUCCUCUCUACGCGCGCUGAAUAAUUUGUUGCAUGCAAACUUUUUAUUUUAUGCAAAUCGUACGUACUGUAACAUUGGAAUUGAUGGAUAAGCAAAAAUACAAUAAUAUUUAUGCCAAUAAAAAUAGUUUUUUUUCCUUUUUAAAUAAACACAACGCGAUGUUGCUCUGCUCUACAUUUUUGCUAUCUCUUUAUUCUUUUUUUUUUUUUGGGCUUCUUAAAGCCUCAAACUUUGACAACCAAAACUUCAUCGACCUAUGAAAAAAUCUGCAGAUUAGUUUUUAUUAUCGGAAUAAUUGUUUGAGAAUACUAAAACAAAAUAUAAAAUAAGAAAAUACGGGGUUAAAUUUGGGGAAAACAAAAAGGCAUGUUCUAUCGAUUACUAUAGUUUAAGAAAACAAAAUCCAAUUGGGAAUUUUUUUCUUUAAUUUUUGUUUUACUUGAUUGAGAUUUCUCCUUAGUCCUUACAGUUUUAAGUUUGGAUGCCGUAGGGUUAGUAAUUUAGUACUUCCUUUGCAAGCUGAGGGCAAGAAUGAAAAUCUUUAAAGAAAUUAAAAAAGAUUAAAAAAAAGCAUACCAAUAGGUAAUUAUAAAUAACCAUAAAUAAACAUAAACAAAAUAUUUAUGAAGUAAAUUACACAUGCACAUAUUAUUUUUUUGUUUUAUUUCUUACUUGUCUAUUUUAUUUGUCUAUUUUAUUUGCUGCUUGAUAACCCGUAAAUACUAAUCUAGUACUGCUAAUUUCAGACACAAAAUUUUUAACUCUAGGCUGCAGUUUUGCUCAAAAUGAUGACCACUGGCUUCGCACCAUUUAACCGGCAUACAUUUCUACAAAUUGAACAAGGCUAUUGAUUUUCAUUAUUAUUUUUUAUUUAUUUAUAAAUUACUAUUUUAAUUUUCACUUUUUAUUGGGUUGUUUACAAUUUUAUUUUAUAAUUUCAAAUUUGUAUUUUAAAAUGCAGGUACAUUAUGUAUACAUAAUUAUUGAUUUUCAUAUGUGGGUGUUUUGAAAUAUUGCUAAAAGACCAAACUUAAUAAACUAUUUUUCAUCUUUUUUUCCCUUUUUUCCUAAAGGUUGAGUGAUAUCCGCAUUUUAAAUUCAUGUGGAACAAAAGCUAAUGAAUGCACAAAAUUCUUUUAUUUUUUCCGAGAAAAAUGGGUAAGAGAAGAAGAUUUUUCUCUUGAAAAAGAAAAACUAAUACGAUGCAAACAUAGGAAAGAGGUCAGUGUUUUGGAUUAGAAUUUAUUAUUGACCUGAAUUUUAUACUAAACUCUUUUAUAGUACUGCGAUUAAUGAACUCAUGAUUUGCUUUUGCUUUUACUUCAAGUGAAAGAAAGAGGAAACCUUUUGUUUUUUGUUUGAUUCUUGACUAUAGAUGUUACCUAUAUAGAGAGUUGAGGUAGCUGCCUUAAGUGAUGGUGAUAAAAAGAUUAAGCAGCGCACAAAAUCUGACUGUCGUCCAGACCAUCCAGCUGUGAUGGCUCUAGUUUUUUGGUUACAUUAGCUUUAGUGGAAAGGAGGGCCAAUUUAACAAAGACUAGAUUUGGUGGCUUACUAUAAUGCUUAUUCUCAAGGAAUCUAAUGUUAUAAGAUGAUUUAAUGAUCUUCUAUGAUUGUGAGUAGUAUAGUAUAAUUGAAAAGAGCCUGGGCUCCUAUGAUGAAUAUUUAAUAGUAACACAAUAUUGUGAUUGAAAAAAACACUGUUACAAUAAACUCUUCAUUUAUUCAUUGCGGAUAUUGAAUGGCAAACAGAGAAUAAAAUGAAGCAGAGGAAUCUCAUUGCUAGUAAAAUUGACCCUCUUUAAUGUUAUAUGGCACAGGUGUGUGUACAGCAAGAGCAAGUGACUUGCAGUUUUUUUUUGUAAAAUAUACAGGUUAUGACCAUGAUCAUUGUAGUUAGGUUUUGAUGAUUUUAGAUGCUUUUUUUAUUUUUUUUAAAUUGUGACACCUUUGAUUUAUGGUAGUUUUGCAGAAGAAAAAAAUAUAUAAAAAAAUUAGGAAGAAUGAGUUAACUAACAAUUGCAAUCAUUACAACAAUGUUGAUGAGUGAUACAUCAUUUGAAAUUUACUUGUCAGUUGCUAAAAUGAUGAAAAAAAACAAUAAACAAUAGCAGUAAUAUUUUUAUGGAAAUUCUUGGUUUUUAUGGAAAUACUCUUGCUGAAAUUCUAAUUUUGACUUUCAACUCUUGGUUUUUAUGGAAAGUAAAAUGACUUGUUUUUUAUAUUCAUACAAUCCACUCUACAUAAUGAUUUCAUUUUAAUAAAUGCUUGAUGAUCUCCACUGAAAAACUACUUCAAUUCUUUUGUUUUAUUUAACUUUUUGGUUGUUGAAAAUAGCCUUAAUUUUCAAAUAACUGGAGAAAGAGUAAAGAACAUUUAACAAAUUUAUGUGCCAAAAAUAAAGGAGAAAUUGAAGAGAAAGGGUGCUUGCAGAAGUGGGUGCAAAGAUAAAUCAGUCUAUAAGAAUUAUUGUGGUUAUUAAUUUUUUGGCAAUAUAAAAAAUUUUCAGCAAAUAAAAAUUGAUUUUUUCCAAUUUACUAAAAAAUUAAUUAAAAACUUUGGCGAUAGCAUUUUUUGUUGGUGCAUGUACCCUCCCUUUUAAAAAAAUAUAAUAAUUAAUACUUAAUAUAAUAUUAAAUACGAAAAUAUCAAUAUUUGACUACACAAAUUUAUAUCAUUAGGUCCUUAAAAUUUAAAAUUGAAGACAUAGAAUGAAAUAUAUAAAUAUAUAUAAAUUUUAUAAUCUUAAAAUAUUUGAAAGAUUUUUUAAAACAAAUGUAAUUUUAUUUGUGUACAAUCAAUAUUUACUUAUUUAUUAUAUUUUUAUUCAUUAACUAUCAAUCAUGUGAGUAUAUCUACUUAGAAAUAUCAUAUCAAGGGAGAAUCUUGAUCCCACGCACACGCAAAUAUGUUAAUUUCUAUACGCUUCACUUACCUGUAGAAUCAAUUAUCUAAAAUGCAAGUUUGUGGCCACAAAAAAGGCCAAAGAAAGAAGAUAAUAACAAUUGACUUGUAUAUUAUACUCAUACAAUCCACUCGACAUAAUGAUAUCAUUUUAACAAGGCAAUGGCUGAUGAUCUCCAUUGAAAAACUAAUUCAUUUCUUUUGCUUCAUUUAACUUUUUGGUUGUUGAAAAUAACCUUAAUGAUCAAAUUUAUGUGCAAAAAAAAAAGGAGAAGUUGAAGAGAAAGGGUGCUUGCAGAAGUGGAUGUCAAAGAAAAAUCGGUCCAUAAGAAUUAUUGCGGUUAUUUUUUGGCAAUAUAAAAUUUUUAUAGCAUGUAAAAAUUAAUUUUUUUUCCGAUUUACUAAAAAAUUAACUAAAAACUUCUGCGACAGCAUUUUUUAUGGGUGCAUAUACCCUCCCUUUAAAAAAAAUAUAAUAAUUAAUGCUUAAUAUAGUAUUAAAUACGAAAAUAUCAAUAUUUGACAACUCAAAUUUAUAUCAUUAGGUCCUUAAAAUUUAAAAUUGAAGACACGAAAAGAAAUAUAUAAAAAUUUCAUUCUCAUGGAAAGGAUUCUCUUAUAAUCUUAUAAUAUUUGAGUUCUGAAAUUUUUUUGAAACAAAUGUAAUUUUAUUUGUGUACAAUCAAUAUUUACUUAUUUAUUAUAUUUUAAUUUAUUAACUAUCAAUCAUGUAAGUAUAUUUAGUCAGAAAAAUUAUAUCAAGAGAGAAUUCUAAUUUCACACAAACACAAAUACAAGACAAAUAUGUCAAUUUCUAUACUAUUCACUUUCCUGUAGAAUCAAUUAUCUAAAAUGGAAGUUUGUGGCUACAGCAAACUCGCCAAAGAAAGAAGAUAAUAACAAUUGAGCAUUGAUAGCAAAACUAAUGCAUCAUUUUCUUCUUGACUUGAUGAGAUGGCGCCAUUACAAAAAAACAAGUACCUUAAUUGACGGGCACUGAGUGAUGUGAAUACUACCAGCCAGUUCAUCUCUUCCAGUCUUGCUUAAUCACAAUCACAAACACCACGAGAUUGACAUUUGCAUUAUAUAUAUGUUCAGCAAUCGAAACACCUUGCAUUACCAAAUUAACCGCUAACAAACAAAGCAAUCUUUCAGGGAGAGAAACUUUAGUCUCAGUAUGAUCACUGUGUCAUUAACCCACUUCCUGCUUCUUUGCUUGGUUGUUGUAGCAGCAGCAGCAGCAAGCAACAAUAUUACCACAGACCAACAAGCUCUUCUUGCCCUGAAAGAUCAUAUAAUUUAUGAUCCGACCAACCUUUUUGCCCAUAAUUGGACCUCGAAUACCUCUGUUUGUACCUGGAUUGGCAUCACUUGUGAUGUCAAUAGCCAUAGAGUCGCAGCCUUAGAUAUUUCUCAAUUCAAUCUACAAGGCACCAUCCCUCCUCAACUUGGAAAC